GGCCGCCUGGCGAAAUGGCAUCGCGUCUGACUACGAAAUUGUAAUCAGGAGAUUGCAGGUUCGACCCCUGCGGUGGUCA
rnacentral:tRNA from 1 species